AGUGGGGAAUAUUGCACAAUGGGCGCAAGCCUGAUGCAGCCAUGCCGCGUGUGUGAAGAAGGCCUUCGGGUUGUAAAGUACUUUCAGCGAGGAGGAAGGGUGGUGUGUUAAUAGCACAUUACAUUGACGUUACUCGCAGAAGAAGCACCGGCUAACUCCGUGCCAGCAGCCGCGGUAAUACGGAGGGUGCAAGCGUUAAUCGGAAUUACUGGGCGUAAAGCGCACGCAGGCGGUUUGUUAAGUCAGAUGUGAAAUCCCCGGGCUUAACCUGGGAACUGCAUUUGAAACUGGCAAGCUAGAGUCUUGUAGAGGGGGGUAGAAUUCCAGGUGUAGCGGUGAAAUGCGUAGAGAUCUGGAGGAAUACCGGUGGCGAAGGCGGCCCCCUGGACAAAGACUGACGCUCAGGUGCGAAAGCGUGGGGAGCAAACAGGAUUAGAUACCCU
rnacentral:rRNA from 1 species